ensembl:rRNA 5S_rRNA 5S ribosomal RNA
ACUUAGGGCCAUACCAAUCGGAGCAUGCCCGAUCUCGACUGAUCUUGGAAGCUAAGCAGACAAGUAAAGCCCUUUGAGUG